rnacentral:rRNA from 1 species
UACGUAGGGGGCAAGCGUUGUCCGGAUUUAUUGGGCGUAAAGAGCGUGUAGGCGGCUUCACAGGUCCGUUGUGAAAACUCGAGGCUCAACCUCGAGACGCCGAUGGAAACCAUCUAACUAGAGUCCGGAAGAGGAGAGUGGAAUUCCUGGUGUAGCGGUGAAAUGCGCAGAUAUCAGGAAGAACACCCGUGGCUAAGGCGGCUCUCUAGUACGGUACUGACGCUGAGACGCGAAAGCGUGGGGAGCGAACAGG